rnacentral:rRNA from 1 species
GGGGGCGGCGUGCUAAUACAUGCAAGUCGAGCGCAGGAAGCAGGCGGAUCCCCUUCGGGGGUGAAGCCUGUGGAAUGAGCGGCGGACGGGUGAGUAACACGUGGGCAACCUGCCUGUAAGAUCGGAAUAACUCCGGGAAACCGGGGCUAAUGCCGGGUAAUCCUUCAUCUCGCAUGAGAGGAAGGUAAAAGAUGGCUUCUAGCUAUCACUUACAGAUGGGCCCGCGGCGCAUUAGCUAGUUGGUGAGGUAACGGCUCACCAAGGCGACGAUGCGUAGCCGACCUGAGAGGGUGAUCGGCCACACUGGGACUGAGACACGGCCCAGACUCCUACGGGAGGCAGCAGUAGGGAAUCUUCCGCAAUGGACGAAAGUCUGACGGAGCAACGCCGCGUGAACGAUGAAGGUCUUCGGAUCGUAAAGUUCUGUUGUUAGGGAAGAACAUGUACCGUUCAAACAGGGCGGUACCUUGACGGUACCUAACGAGGAAGCCCCGGCUAACUACGUGCCAGCAGCCGCGGUAAUACGUAGGGGGCAAGCGUUGUCCGGAAUUAUUGGGCGUAAAGCGCGCGCAGGCGGUUCCUUAAGUCUGAUGUGAAAGCCCACGGCUCAACCGUGGAGGGUCAUUGGAAACUGGGGAACUUGAGGACAGAAGAGGAGAGUGGAAUUCCACGUGUAGCGGUGAAAUGCGUAGAUAUGUGGAGGAACACCAGUGGCGAAGGCGACUCUCUGGUCUGUUUCUGACGCUGAGGUGCGAAAGCGUGGGUAGCAAACAGGAUUAGAUACCCUGGUAGUCCACGCC